rnacentral:rRNA from 1 species
UACGUAGGGACCAAGCGUUGUUCGGAUUUACUGGGCGUAAAGGGCGCGUAGGCGGCGUGGUAAGUCACUUGUGAAAUCUCUGAGCUUAACUCAGAACGGCCAAGUGAUACUGCUGUGCUAGAGUGCAGAAGGGGCAAUCGGAAUUCUUGGUGUAGCGGUGAAAUGCGUAGAUCUUGGAAAGACCACCAAUGGCGAAGGCACUCUACUGGGCCAUUACUGACACUGAGAGACGAAAGCUAGGGGAGCGAAUGGG